UCCUGCCCCCACAUCCGGCGCCUGAGUCACAGCACAUGCUGUUCUCUAGGGGCUAGGAAAUGACACACCAUUACAGGGAAUUGUCUCCUCCCUCAAGGGAAAGGGCCGCAGCUGAAAGGCCGGGAGCUUCUUGUGUUUUUGUGGGUGUUUAAUUUCCUUAAUGAUGUCGACAGCAAGCCUGCUGGGGCCGGAACGAAAAAAGAAGCUUGGUCCACAGGCUGAGACAGGCAUGACAGGCCACAGGAGUAGGGCAACCAACCAUGUGCUUAGCUGGGUCCCGGGCAAACCAGGACACAUAGAUCAAGGCAUAUGUUCUGAUGGGCCAGGUUGCAAACGACAGAGAGGCAGGAUGCCACAGUGGUGGGGAAUCAGCUUUCUGGCAUCAAAAUGCAUGCAGAACCUGGCUGUGCUCUCCCCUACAGUGUGACCUUAAAAAGGCGACUUAACCUCUCUCUGUGCCUCUGUUCUGUAAGAUGGAGAUAAUGGUACCUUGUAAAGUUAUCGAAGAAGUCAACGAGUUAAUUCACGUAAAGCUCUUAGUAUAAUACCUGGCAAAUAGUAAGCACCCAUUCAAUGGUAACUAAUGGGUAACUAUUUUUUUUAACCAAUCACUCUUCCUCCUUUUCUUGCUUCUCUUCCACCUCCUCCCCAACUACUGCCCCCACUCCAGAAACACAGCUUGCUUUCUAGAAGAAGCAUGUUAAAUCAAUUCCACAAGUUCAAAGCUAUGGAAAACACUGGCCUGUGUAGACCGGAGACCAGAAUCAGCCCAGGACAGGAUUUCUGCAUUUCAAUCAGACUGAAAAUGCCAGGUUUCCUCCAGUAACUGUGAAGGCAGGGUCAGAAGCAGAGGCCUGCUCUGCAGCCCUUUUCGUAAUCACCAGUCCUCCCCUUGGUCUACUUCAAACAUGACCACACACUGCUGCCCCACCAGAAGCAGCAAAGCAGAGCACGGUUAACCACUUCAAAGCGUUUCCCAAAGACACAGAGCAGGUACCCAAACAGGCCUCCCUUCCCCAGGAAUAUUUGGGGCCCUCCCCAACCAGUAAUUACAUCAUAAACAGACAAAAGUCCGGAAUUUCCUCCUGGCAGAGAACAGACAUAAGAAAUCAGGAGCAAAGGUUGGGGGUGGGGAGGAAGCAAAAUUGUCCUCCCAGCAGAGAAUGCCUAAGCCAGGAGGAACUUGUAAAUGAAAAUCGCUCGCAUUAGCAAAUGAUUAUUUCCUCCAACGGGGACCUUCUCUUAGACCCACAGAAAUUCGAGGACCGGUCUGCACCCCGGCUGACUUGGGCCCGUCAGAGCUGCCGGGCUGAGCCCGCUCCUCCAGAGGACUGCACUGGCCUGCACUGUGCUUAUAAAGAAUCCUGCAAAUCAACAGGAACUUCUCAUCCAGAGCCGGGAUAGGGAGGGCUGGAAUGGAAAUGAGGCCGUGGAAUGAAAGGUCACUCCCAACUUGGGGAAAAUGGCAUUUCACCAGGAACAUCAAGUACCUCGGAGGCAGAACAUGCGAGGGGCAGGGAACGCCGAGAGGAGGCACUUACCUGCCAUUGAGAAAGUGCGGCUGCUCAGAGGGCCUAGCCUCUCUUGUUCAAAAGAGAACAGAGGCUCACCCACAGCAGACAUUCCUGCUUCCGGAUCCUCAGCGGCCUCUCCCAGGGGGAGGAGGAAGAAGCAAAGAGAACAGGCUAAGAGUCACCACUUACCAGGCCAGCCCCGGUCUUGUACGCAUUAGGUCGCCCGGCGGGGCAAGGACACUGUCACCUCUUUGCAAUCAGGCAGUCUGAAGCCCAGCGACUUGCCUUCAUGUCCCCGGGCUUUCGCCUAUAAUUUAUCACCCUCAACAGCAGCUCGGCUGAGCUGAAAGUCUCCGGUGAAGUGCACCAAAGAGCCAUUUAUUUCAUGGGAUUGUGAAUAAAUACGAGGAACUGCAGUUGUUCUGCUGGCCGAGGUGACAAUAUCAGAAGGGAGCCUGGGGGGAGGGAAACAGCUGUGGUUUGCAUUUUGAAGGUGUUUUUAAUAUUUCUAGUAAUUGUUUCAGAUUCUCCAGUUCUGAUGUCCCUCUCCUAGAAAUGAGAAAACCCAUCUUUUAUACUCAAGGUAUAAUCCUUUCCCACUAGACACAGCCUCCUCCACCCCUCUCUCAAUAAUGCAGAAGUGGUGAUUAAAGGGCACAUUCAUAUGUAAAAGGAGAACUUCCAAACUCGCCUGGCAGGACAGAAAUUGCUUCAAUCUACGGAAAAGAGGCUGAUUUACAAAUGAAUUCAGUGUUUAGCCCUCAACAACUAGAGGCAAUUGCAACCGCGGCCCUUUCUCCUCCCCAGCUGGGAUGAGGCCCUCUGGAAAAACGACAACAUCGCAACAGGAAUUUCCUGGAUCAAGAAUGCCAGGUUCUUUCCAAUUUUACUGAGGCAGGACCCAACUCCCUGUGAGAACACACUGCCCACCACCCACCCCCUCAGCAGGCCCAGGCCCCAAAGGCUCCCUCCAACAUGUGUACAUGAGGCCCUUCAAACUCGACCGGAACACCACAAAGAAUGUGGAGAAACCGGUUGCCUCUGGCCUUUACAUUGUGGCUGGCUGAGGAGCUGGUUCUGGUGGC